AGCUCCAGUGGCCUAAUGGUUAGAGUGUCCACCUCGAAUGUGGGAGGUCUUGUGUUCAAUCCCCAGCCGAGUCA